rnacentral:rRNA from 1 species
AACAACCCUGGGAAACUAGGGCUAAUACCGGAUACGAGCGAGAGCUGAAAGGUUUACCGCCGAAGGAUCGGCCCGCGUCUGAUUAGCUAGUUGGUGAGGUAACGGCUCACCAAGGCGACGAUCAGUAGCUGGUCUGAGAGGAUGAUCAGCCACAUUGGGACUGAGACACGGCCCAAACUCCUACGGGAGGCAGCAGUGGGGAAUAUUGGACAAUGGGCGCAAGCCUGAUCCAGCCAUGCCGCGUGA